rnacentral:rRNA from 1 species
GAUUAACGCUAGCGGCAGGCCUAAUACAUGCAAGUCGUACGGUAACAGGUGUAGCAAUACAUGCUGACGAGUGGCGCACGGGUGCGUAACACGUAUGCAAUCUGCCUUUAACUGGGGAAAACCCCUCGAAAGAGGGGCUAAUACCGCAUAACAUCACCGGACGGCAUCGCCUGGUGAGCAAACCUACGGGGGUUAAAGAUGAACAUGCGACUGAUUAGUUAGUUGGCGGGGUAACGGCCCACCAAGACAGCGAUCAGUAGGGGAUCUGAGAGGAUGAUCCCCCACACGGGUACUGAGACACGGACCCGACUCCUACGGGAGGCAGCAGUAAGGAAUAUUGGACAAUGGAGGCAACUCUGAUCCAGCCAUGCCGCGUGAAGGAUGAAUGCGCUAUGCGUUGUAAACUUCUUUUAUACGGGAAAAAUAUCCGCUAUUCUUAGCGGAUUGAUUGUACUGUAAGAAUAAGGGUCGGCUAACUUCGUGCCAGCCGCCGCAGUAAAAC